GAAAUGACUCUCGGCAACGGAUAUCUCGGCUCUCGCAUCGAUGAAGAACGUAGCGAAAUGCGAUACUUGGUGUGAAUUGCAGAAUCCCGUGAACCAUCGAGUCUUUGAACGCAAGUUGCGCCCAAAGCCAUUAGGCCGAGGGCACGUCUGCUUGGGCGUCACGC
rnacentral:rRNA from 1 species